rnacentral:rRNA from 1 species
UACGUAAGGUCCGAGCGUUGUCCGGAAUCAUUGGGCGUAAAGGGUACGUAGGCGGUUAGAAAAGUUAGAAGUGAAAUCCUAUAGCUCAACUAUAGUAAGCUUUUAAAACUGCUCAUCUUGAGGUAUGGAAGGGAAAGUGGAAUUCCUAGUGUAGCGGUGGAAUGCGCAGAUAUUAGGAGGAAUACCGGUGGCGAAGGCGACUUUCUGGCCAUUUUCUGACGCUGAGGUACGAAAGCGUGGGUAGCAAACAGG